rnacentral:misc_RNA from 2 species
CAACCCUCAAGCAACUUCUGCUUGGUGUUGGGGAUCGGCCGUCAAACGCCGCCCCCGAAAUCUAUUGGCGAUCUCGCUGUAGCUUCCUAUGCGUAGUAGUAACAUCUCGCAUCUGGAGAGCGGCGCGGUCAUGCCGUAAAACACCCAACUUUUCA